rnacentral:rRNA from 1 species
UGGGGAAUAUUGGGCAAUGGGCGAAAGCCUGACCCAGCAACGCCCCGUGAGGGAAGAAGGUCUUCGGAUUGUAAACCUCUGUCCUUGGGGACGAAAAAAAUGACGGUACCCAAGGAGGAAGCCCCGGCUAACUACGUGCCAGCAGCCGCGGUAAUACGUAGGGGGCGAGCGUUGUCCGGAAUUACUGGGCGUAAAGGGUGCGUAGGCGGUUUUUUAAGUCAGAUGUGAAAUCCCCGGGCUUAACUCGGGUGGUGCAUUUGAAACUGGGAGGCUAGAGUGCAGGAGAGGGAAGCGGAAUUCCUAGUGUAGCGGUGAAAUGCGUAGAUAUUAGGAGGAACACCAGUGGCGAAGGCGGCUUUCUGGACUGUAACUGACGCUGAGGCACGAAAGCGUGGGGAGCAAACA